rnacentral:rRNA from 1 species
GAUGAACGCUAGCGGCAGGCCUAAUACAUGCAAGUCGAACGGGAUUGCGGUGUAGCUUGCUACACUGCAUGAGAGUGGCGCACGGGUGCGCAACGCGUGAGCGACCUACCCAUAUCAGGGGGAUAGCCCGGAGAAAUCCGGAUUAACACCGCAUGGGACAGUAUUACCGCAUGGUAUAGCUGUUAAAUAUUUAUAGGAUAUGGAUGGGCUCGCGUGACAUUAGCUAGUUGGUGGGGUAACGGCCCACCAAGGCGACGAUGUCUAGGGGCUCUGAGAGGAGAAUCCCCCACACUGGUACUGAGACACGGACCAGACUCCUACGGGAGGCAGCAGUAAGGAAUAUUGGUCAAUGGGCGGAAGCCUGAACCAGCCAUGCCGCGUGCAGGACGACUGCCCUAUGGGUUGUAAACUGCUUUUGUACGGGAAUAACCCUCUCUACGAGUAGAGAGCUGAACGUACCGUAAGAAUAAGGAUCGGCUAACUCCGUGCCAGCCGCCGCGGUAA